rnacentral:rRNA from 1 species
UACGAAGGGGGCUAGCGUUGUUCGGAAUCACUGGGCGUAAAGGGCGCGUAGGCGGCUGUUCAAGUCGGGGGUGAAAGCCUGUGGCUCAACCACAGAAUUGCCCUUCGAUACUGGACGGCUCGAGACCGGAAGAGGUCAGUGGAACUGCGAGUGUAGAGGUGAAAUUCGUAGAUAUUCGCAAGAACACCAGUGGCGAAGGCGGCUGACUGGUCCGGUUCUGACGCUGAGGCGCGAAAGCGUGGGGAGCAAACAGG